UAUCUACUGAACACGGCUUAAAAGAGUUACA
rnacentral:piRNA from 1 species